rnacentral:rRNA from 1 species
CUAGCCUCAAGUGAUGAUUAUUGGAGGUAGAGCACUGUUUGGACGAGGGGCCCCUCUCGGGUUACCGAAUUCAGACAAACUCCGAAUGCCAAUUAAUUUAACUUGGGAGUCAGAACAUGGGUGAUAAGGUCCGUGUUCGAAAGGGAAACAGCCCAGACCACCAGCUAAGGUCCCAAAAUAUAUGUUAAGUGGAAAAGGAUGUGGCGUUGCCCAGACAACUAGGAUGUUGGCUUAGAAGCAGCCAUCAUUUAAAGAGUGCGUAAUAGCUCACUAGUCGAGUGACACUGCGCCGAAAAUGUACCGGGGCUAAACAUAUUACCGAAGCUGUGGAUUGUCCUUUGGACAAUGGUAGGAGAGCGUUCUAAGGGCGUUGAAGCAUGAUCGUAAGGACAUGUGGAGCGCUUAGAAGUGAGAAUGCCGGUGUGAGUAGCGAAAGACGGGUGAGAAUCCCGUCCACCGAUUGACUAAGGUUUCCAGAGGAAGGCUCGUCCGCUCUGGGUUAGUCGGGUCCUAAGCUGAGGCCGACAGGCGUAGGCGAUGGAUAACAGGUUGAUAUUCCUGUACCACCUAUAAUCGUUUUAAUCGAUGGGGGGACGCAGUAGGAUAGGCGAAGCGUGCGAUUGGAUUGCACGUCUAAGCAGUAAGGCUGAGUAUUAGGCAAAUCCGGUACUCGUUAAGGCUGAGCUGUGAUGGGGAGAAGACAUUGUGUCUUCGAGUCGUUGAUUUCACACUGCCGAGAAAAGCCUCUAGAUAGAAAAUAGGUGCCCGUACCGCAAACCGACACAGGUAGUCAAGAUGAGAAUUCUAAGGUGAGCGAGCGAACUCUCGUUAAGGAACUCGGCAAAAUGACCCCGUAACUUCGGGAGAAGGGGUGCUCUUUAGGGUUAACGCCCAGAAGAGCCGCAGUGAAUAGGCCCAAGCGACUGUUUAUCAAAAACACAGGUCUCUGCUAAACCGUAAGGUGAUGUAUAGGGGCUGACGCCUGCCCGGUGCUGGAAGGUUAAGAGGAGUGGUUAGCUUCUGCGAAGCUACGAAUCGAAGCCCCAGUAAACGGCGGCCGUAACUAUAACGGUCCUAAGGUAGCGAAAUUCCUUGUCGGGUAAGUUCCGACCCGCACGAAAGGCGUAACGAUUUGGGCACUGUCUCAACGAGAGACUCGGUGAAAUCAUAGUACCUGUGAAGAUGCAGGUUACCCGCGACAGGACGGAAAGACCCCGUGGAGCUUUACUGUAGCCUGAUAUUGAAAUUCGGCACAGCUUGUACAGGAUAGGUAGGAGCCUUUGAAACGUGAGCGCUAGCUUACGUGGAGGCGCUGGUGGGAUACUACCCUAGCUGUGUUGGCUUUCUAACCCGCACCACUUAUCGUGGUGGGAGACAGUGUCA